AACGAACGCUGGCGGCAGGCCUAACACAUGCAAGUCGAGCGCACCUUCGGGUGAGCGGCGGACGGGUUAGUAACGCGUGAGAAUCUGGCUGUGGGUCGGGGACAACCACUGGAAACGGUGGCUAAAUACCGGAUGAGCCGAAAGGUAAAGAUUAUUGCCCACAGAUGAGCUCGCGUCUGAUUAGCUAGUUGGUAAGGUAAAAGUGUACCAAGGCGACGAUCAGUAGCUGGUCUGAGAGGAUGAGCAGCCACACUGGGACUGAGACACGGCCCAGACUCCUACGGAGGCAGCAGUGGGGAAUUUUCCGCAAUGGGCAAAAGCCUGACGGAGCAAGACCGCGUGGGGGAGAAGGUUUUUGGAUCGUAAACCCCUUU
rnacentral:rRNA from 1 species